rnacentral:rRNA from 1 species
GAAUUCACUAGUGAUUCAGGCCUAACACAUGCAAGUCGAACGCACAGCGAAAGGUGCUUGCACCUUUCAAGUGAGUGGCGAACGGGUGAGUAACACGUGGACAACCUGCCUCAAGGCUGGGGAUAACAUUUGGAAACAGAUGCUAAUACCGAAUAAAACUUAGUGUCGCAUGACACAAAGUUAAAAGGCGCUUCGGCGUCACCUAGAGAUGGAUCCGCGGUGCAUUAGUUAGUUGGUGGGGUAAAGGCCUACCAAGACAAUGAUGCAUAGCCGAGUUGAGAGACUGAUCGGCCACAUUGGGACUGAGACACGGCCCAAACUCCUACGGGAGGCUGCAGUAGGGAAUCUUCCACAAUGGGCGAAAGCCUGAUGGAGAAGCGCCGCGUGUGUGAUGAAGGCUUUCGGGUCGUAAAUAACGGUUGUAUGGGAAGAACAGCUAGAAUAGGAAAUGA